rnacentral:rRNA from 1 species
UACAGAGACUGCAAGCGUUAUUCGGAUUCACUGGGUUUAAAGGGUGCGUAGGUGGGCAGGUAAGUCAGUGGUGAAAUCUCCGGGCUUAACCCGGAAACUGCCGUUGAUACUAUUUGUCUUGAAUGUCGUGGAGGUGAGCGGAAUAUGUCAUGUAGCGGUGAAAUGCUUAGAGAUGACAUAGAACACCGAUUGCGAAGGCAGCUCACUACGCGAAUAUUGACACUGAGGCACGAAAGCGUGGGGAUCAAACAGG